rnacentral:rRNA from 1 species
GUCUAUAGCCAUGCUACCCUGAAUGUACCCAAUUUCAACUGAUCUUGGAAGCCAGGCAGGGUCAGGCCUAGUUAAUACUUGGAUGGGAGACUGUCUGAGACUACUGAGUACUGUAUGGA